rnacentral:rRNA from 1 species
UACGAAGGGGGCUAGCGUUGUUCGGAAUCACUGGGCGUAAAGGGCGCGUAGGCGGCCGUUCAAGUCGGGGGUGAAAACCUGUGGCUCAACCACAGAAUUGCCUUCGAUACUGGACGGCUCGAGACCGGAAGAGGUCAGUGGAACUGCGAGUGUAGAGGUGAAAUUCGUAGAUAUUCGCAAGAACACCAGUGGCGAAGGCGGCUGACUGGUCCGGUUCUGACGCUGAGGCGCGAAAGCGUGGGGAGCAAACAGG